UACGUAGGCAGCAAGCGUUGUUCGGAGUUACUGGGCGUAAAGGGUGUGUAGGCGGUUCUUUAAGUUUGGUGUGAAAUCUCCCGGCUCAACUGGGAGGGUGCGCCGAAUACUGAGGGACUAGAGUACGGGAGAGGAAAGUGGAAUUCCUGGUGUAGCGGUGAAAUGCGUAGAUAUCAGGAGGAACACCGGUGGCGAAGGCGGCAUUCUGGACCGGCAUUGACGCUGAGGCGCGAAAGCCAGGGGAGCAAACGGG
rnacentral:rRNA from 1 species